rnacentral:rRNA from 1 species
CCUACGGGCGGCAGCAGUGGGGAAUAUUGCACAAUGGGGGGAACCCUGAUGCAGCAAUGCCGCGUGGGUGAAGAAGCACUCCGGUGCGUAAAGCCCUGUCAGCAGGGAAGAAAAUGACAGUACCUGGACAAGAAGCCCCGGCUAACUACGUGCCAGCAGCCGCGGUAAUACGUAGGGGGCAAGCGUUAUCCGGAUUUACUGGGUGUAAAGGGGGCGCAGACGGCAAUGCAAGCCAGGAGUGAAAGCCCGGGGCCCAACCCCGGGACUGCUCUUGGAACUGCAUGGCUGGAGUACAGGAGGGGCAGGCGGAAUGCCUAGUGUAGCGGUGAAAUGCGUAGAUAUUAGGAGGAACACCGGUGGCGAAGGCGGCCUGCUGGACUGUGACUGACGUUGAGGCCCGAAGGCGUGGGGAGCAAACAGGAUUAGAUACCCCUGUAGUC